AGUGGAUGGGGAGCAACCUAUGUUGUGCGUGUGUAAAGGUAGUGCCAAGAAAAGCGAUGGUCAUGUUGAAAAUCAAUUCCCGGUACCCGAAACCGACACAGGUGGGCAAGUAGAGAAUACUAAGGGGCGCGAGGUAACUCUCUCCAAGGAACUCGGCAAAAUGACCCCGUAACUUAGGGAGAAGGGGUGCCACCGAGAGGUGGUCGCAGUGAAGAGGCCCAGGCGACUGUUUAGCAAAAACAUAGGUCUCUGCAAACUCGAAAGAGGAGGUAUAGGGGCUGACGCCUGCCCAGUGCCGGAAGGUUAAAGAAGUUGGUCAGUUUUAGGAUGAAGCUAGCAACUGAAGCCCCGGUGAACGGCGGCCGUAACUAUAACGGUCCUAAGGUAGCGAAACUCCUUGUCGGGUAAGUUCCGACCCGCACGAAAGGCGUAACGAUCUGGGCGCUGUCUCGGAGAGAGGCUCGGCGAAAUAGGAUUGUCUGUGAAGAUACGGACUACCUGCAUUUGGACAGAAAGACCCUACGAAGCUUUACUAUAGCUUGGAAUUGUGUUCGGGCUUCCUGUGCGCAGGAUAGGUGGGAGGCGUAGAAGGUAUUCUUGUGGGGAUACUGGAGCCAACGGUGAGAUACCACUCUCAGGAGGCUAGAAUUCUAACUUAAUUAAGGACAGUUUCAGGUGGGUAGUUUGACUGGGGCGGUCGCCUCCAAAAAGGUAACGGAGGCGUACAAAGGUUCCCUCAGACUGGUUGGAAAUCAGUCGAAGAGUGUAAAGGCAGAAGGGAGCUUGACUGCGAGAAGUACAGUUCGAGCAGGGUGGAAACACGGUCUUAGUGAUCCGACGGUGCUGUGUGGAAGGGCCGUCGCUCAACGGAUAAAAGUUACUCUAGGAUAACAGGCUGAUCUCCCCCAAGAGUUCACAUCGACGGGGAGGUUUGGCACCUCGAUGUCGGCUCAUCGCAACCUGGGGCGGAAGUACGUCCCAAGGGUUGGGCUGUUCGCCCAUUAAAGCGGUACGUGAGCUGGGUUCAGAACGUCGUGAGACAGUUCGGUCCAUAUCCGAUGUAGGCGUGAGAAUAUUGAGAGGAGCCUUCCUUAGUACGAGAGGACCGGGAAGGACGCACCGCUGGUGUACCUGUUAUGAUGCCAAUUGUAAACGCAGGGUAGCCAAGUGCGGAGAGGAUAACCGCUGAAAGCAUCUAAGUGGGAAGCCCACCUCAAGAUGAGUAUUCUGGUGUAAGGUCACGGGAAGACGACCCGUAAAUAGGCACGAGGUGGAAGUGCAGAGAUGUAUGAAGCCGAAGUGUACUAAUAGACCGUCGGCUUGACC
rnacentral:rRNA from 1 species